ACUGUCUCGAGAGGCUUUUCAGGGGUGGCUGCUCUGUCACAUGUACAUUUGUAGGUGGCAGAAAGGAGAGAGCCUUUAUCUAUGCUCAAUAUUCUGAUCUGUAAACAUCUGAAUGUUUAGUAAUCUAAUACU